rnacentral:rRNA from 1 species
GACGAACGCUGGCGGCGUGCUUAACACAUGCAAGUCGAACGGAAAGGCCUCUUUCGGGGGGUACUCGAGUGGCGAACGGGUGAGUAACACGUGAGUAACCUGCCCUUGACUUUGGGUUAACUUCAGGAAACUGGGGCUAAUAACGGAUAGGAGCUCCUGCUGCAUGGUGGGGGUUGGAAAGUUUCGGCGGUUGGGGAUGGACUCGAGGCUUAUCAGCUUGUUGGUGGGGUAGUGGCUUACCAAGGCUUUGACGGGUAGCCGGCCUGUAAGGGUGACCGGCCGCAUUGGGACUGAGAUACGGCCCAGACUCCGACGGGAGGCAGCAGUGGGGAAUAUUGCACAAUGGGUGGAAGCCGGAUGCAGCAACGCCGUGUGCGGUAUGACGGCCUUCGGGUUGUAAACCGCUUUCGCUCAUGACGAAGCUUUGUGUGACGGUAGUGGGUAAAGAAGCACCGGCUAACUACGUG